rnacentral:rRNA from 1 species
GAUGAACGCUGACAGAAUGCUUAACACAUGCAAGUCUUUGGCGAAGCUGUGCUCGCACAGCCUAGCCAAGGCGGACGGGUGAGUAACGCGUAAGGAACUUGCCCUGCAGUCAGGGAUAACAGACGGAAACGACUGAUAAGACCUGGUAAAGUCAGGCGGACUCAUGUCCAGCCUGAUGAAAAGAGAUGCUGCAGGAGAGCCUUGCAUCCUAUUAGCUUGUUGGUGGGGUAACGGCCCACCAAGGCGAUGAUAGGUAGCCGGCCUGAGAGGGUGGACGGCCACAAGGGGACUGAGAUACGGCCCUUACUCCUACGGGAGGCAGCAGUGGGGAAUAUUGGACAAUGGGGGCAACCCUGAUCCAGCAAUUCUGCGUGCACGAUGAAGGUUUUCGGAUUGUAAAGUGCUUUCAGCAGGGAAGAAAAAAAUGACGGUACCUGCAGAAGAAGCGACGGCUAAAUACGUG